CCUACGGGAGGCAGCAGUGAGGAAUAUUGGUCAAUGGGCGCGAGCCUGAACCAGCCAAGUAGCGUGAAGGAUGACUGCCCUACGGGUUGUAAACUUCUUUGAUAAAGGAAUAAAGUGAGGCACGUGUGCCUUUUUGUAUGUACGUUACGAAUAAGGAUCGGCUAACGCCGUGCCAGCAGACGCGGUAAUACGGCGGAUCCGAGCGUUAUCCGGAUUGCUUGGGUUUACAGGGAGCGUAGAUGGGUUGUUAAGUCAGUUGUGAAAGUUUGCGGCUCCACCGUAAAAUUGCCAUUGAUACUGGCAGUCUUGAGUACCGUUGAGGUAGGCGUAAUUCGUGGUGUAGCCG
rnacentral:rRNA from 1 species